GAUGAACGCUGGCGGCGUGCUUAACACAUGUAAGUCGAACGGAAAGGCUCCUGCUUGCAGGGGUACUCGAGUGGCGAACGGGUGAGUAACACGUGGGUGAUCUGCCCUGCACUUCGGGAUAAGCCUGGGAAACUGGGUCUAAUACCGGAUAGGACGAUGGUUUGGAUGCCAUUGUGGAAAGUUUUUUCGGUGUGGGAUGAGCUCGCGGCCUAUCAGCUUGUUGUUGGGGUAAUGGCCUACCAAGGCGUCGACGGGUAGCCGGCCUGAGAGGGUGUACGGCCACAUUGGGACUGAGAUACGGCCCAGACUCCUACGGGAGGCAGCAGUGGGGAAUAUUGCACAAUGGGCGCAAGCCUGAUGCAGCGACGCCGCGUGGGGGAUGACGGCCUUCGGGUUGUAAACUCCUUUCGCUAGGGACGAAGCGCAAGUGACGGUACCUGGAGAAGAAGCACCGGCUAACUACGUG
rnacentral:rRNA from 1 species